rfam:Oryza glumipatula chromosome 12, whole genome shotgun sequence.
AAUAAAUGUAAUUCUGUAUUAUUCAUGUCCAACGUUUGAUCGUUCGUUUUAUUUGAAAAUUUUUAUGAUUAAUAUUUUUGUUGUUAUUAGAUGAUAAAACAUGAAUAGUACUUUAUGUAUGACUAAUUUUUUAAUUUUUUUAUAAACUUUUUAAAUAAGACGGAUGGUUAAACGUUGAACAUGGAUAUCCACAUCUGCAUAUUUA